GACGAACGCUGGCGGCGUGCUUAACACAUGCAAGUCGAACGGAAAGGCCCUGCUUUUGUGGGGUGCUCGAGUGGCGAACGGGUGAGUAACACGUGAGUAACCUGCCCUUGACUUUGGGAUAACUUCAGGAAACUGGGGCUAAUACCGGAUAGGAGCUCCUGCUGCAUGGUGGGGGUUGGAAAGUUUCGGCGGUUGGGGAUGGGCUCGCGGCUUAUCAGCUUGAUGGUGGGGUAGUGGCUUACAAAGGCUUUGACGGGUAGCCGGCCUGAGAGGGUGACCGGCCACAUUGGGACUGAGAUACGGCCCAGACUCCUACGUGAGGCAGCAGUGGGGAAUAUUGCACAAUGGGCGGAAGCCUGAUGCAGCAACGCCGCGUGCGGGAUGACGGCCUUCGGGUUGUAAACCGCUUUCGCCUGUGACGAAGCGUGAGUGACGGUAAUGGGUAAAGAAGCACCGGCUAACUACGUG
rnacentral:rRNA from 1 species